rnacentral:lncRNA from 1 species
CUUUUAGUAUUUUUAUUGGGAUUAUGUUAAAUGUAUAGAUUACUUUAAGGAUUUACUUUUCCCAUCGACAAAUAAGGUGGCAGAUGGCCAUUGACCCAGGAAGAUAGUCUUUGCGGGAGGAAAAAGGUCCCCUGAGGUUCCUGAACUUUCCAGGAAGUGACCUUCCUUACUCACCUGGAGAGAUUUGGAGGAACAUAAGAGAAUAAGGUGCCUGAAGGGAAAAGAAGCCUUGAGGAUAGAGCUGUGAGCUAACAUCUGCCGCCAAAGCUCCUCUUUUUGCUGAGGAAGACUGGCCCUGAGCUAACAUCCGUACCCAUCUUCCUCUACUUUAUAUGUGGGACGCCUGCCACAGCAUGGCUUGCCAAGCGGUGCCAUGUCCACACCUGGGAUCUGAACUGGUGAACCCCGGGCUGCUGAAGCGG